rnacentral:rRNA from 1 species
GACGAACGCUGGCGGCGUGCUUAACACAGGCAAGUCGAACGGAAAGACCCUGCUUUUGUGGGGUGCUCGAGUGGCGAACGGGUGAGUAACACGUGAGUAACCUGCCCUUGACUUUGGGAUAACUUCGGGAAACUGGGGCUAAUACCGGAUAGGAGCUCCUGCUGCAUGGUGGGGGUUGGAAAGUUUCGGCGGUUGGGGAUGGACUCGCGGCUUAUCAGCUUGUUGGUGGGGUAGUGGCUUACCAAGGCUUUGACGGGUAGCCGGCCUGAGAGGGUGACCGGCCACAUUGGGACUGAGAUACGGCCCAGACUCCUACGGGAGGCAGCAGUGGGGAAUAUUGCACAAUGGGCGGAAGCCUGAUGCAGCAACGCCGCGUGCGGGAUGACGGCCUUCGGGUUGUAAACCGCUUUCGCCUGUGACGAAGCGUGAGUGACGGUAAUGGGUAAAGAAGCACCGGCUAACUACGUG